rnacentral:lncRNA from 10 species
CAAGAAGACCCUCACCAGAUGCAGCCCCUCUAUGUUGGACUUCCCAGCCUCCGGAAGUUAGAAAUGUGCUACAACCACUCAAGGUCUGCAAACAGAUUCCUAUUUAGAUGUUGUUGAGAGGUAAGUACAACUAGUUCUCAUUAAUAUUUCAUGUCUUAUGUGCCAUACUUACACUGCCAUUUUGUAGUCAUUUGUCCUACAGCUAAAGAUUAAUUUAUAAUCAGAUACGUGAAAUCUGAUAUGUGCAUUAAGCUUGAUUAUACCUGACUGUGUCUUCACGA